GGUGUAUGACUGUGUGUAUAUAGGGAGUGACUGUGUGCAGGGUAUGGGGAGAUAUUACAGGGAGGAUAUUACAGUAGUAGUGGAUACAGGACACUGACCCCCGGCGGUGAGGUUACUCUCUCCCAGGGCUCUCCUCUCGUUCUUUUUCCCUUUUUUCACCACUUUCCAUUUCCCGUCUCCUGGGCCGGUACCGGACGCCAUGUCUGCAGCUGGUGCAGCGCUU